UACAGAGGGGGCAAGCGUUGUUCGGAAUUACUGGGCGUAAAGGGCGCGUAGGCGGCCUUCUAAGUCAGACGUGAAAUCCCUCGGCUCAACCGGGGAACUGCGUCUGAGACUGGAAGGCUUGAAUCCGGGAGAGGGAUGUGGAAUUCCAGGUGUAGCGGUGGAAUGCGUAGAGAUCCGGAGGAACCCCAGAGGCGAAGGCGGCGUCCUGGCUCGCAUCUGACGCUCAGACACGACAGCAUGGGGAGCGAACGGG
rnacentral:rRNA from 1 species